UACAGAGGGUGCAAACGUUGUUCGGAAUCACUGGGCAUAAAGCGCACGUAGGCGGCCCGUCAAGUGCGGUGUGAAAUCCCACGGCUCACCCGUGGAAUUGCGCUGCAGACUGACGGGCUCGAGGACGGUAGGGGAGAGCGGAACUCCUGGUGGAGCGGUGAAAUGCGUAGAUAUCAGGAGGAACACCGGUGGCGAAGGCGGCUCUCUGGUCCGUUUCUGACGCUGAGGUGCGAAAGCCAGGGGAGCAAACGGG
rnacentral:misc_RNA from 1 species